CCUACGGGGGACAGCAGUGAGGAAUAUUGGUCAAUGGGCGGAAGCCUGAACCAGCCAAGUAGCGUGCAGGAUGACGGCCCUACGGGUUGUAAACUGCUUUUAUACGGGAAUAACGCGACUUACGUGUAGGGCUUUGCAUGUACCGUAUGAAUAAGGACUGGCUAAUUCCGUGCCAGCAGCCGCGGUAAUAAGGAAGGUCCGGGCGUUAUCCGGAUUUUUUGGGUUUAAAAGGGAGCGUAGGCCGGAUGUCAAGCGUGCGGUGAAAUGUUCGGGCUCAACCCGGGCCGUGCAGUGCGAACUGGCGUGCUUGAGUCCGCGGGAAGCAGGCGGAAUUCGUCGUGUAGCGGUGAAAUGCUUAGAUAUGACGAAGAACCCCGAUUGCGAAGGCAGCUUGCUGCAGCGGAACUGACGCUGAUGCACGAAAGCGCGGGUAUCGAACAGGAUUAGAUACCCGUGUAGUC
rnacentral:rRNA from 1 species